rnacentral:ncRNA from 1 species
CUUAUCAAGAGCGGCUGAGGGAACAGGUCCUGUGAAGCCCGGCAACCGGCACGAGAGUGCAAUGGUGCUAAUUCCUGCGGAGCAGAGUCUCCGAAAGAUGAGG